rnacentral:rRNA from 1 species
UGACCUCGGAUCAGGUAGGUCCGGUCCGUUGUUUUCCCC